ACACCCAUAGCUCAGUUGGUUAGAGCACUACCUUGACAUGGUAGGGGUCGGUGGUUCGAGUCCACUUGGGUGUACCA
rnacentral:tRNA from 2 species